GAGGGUGCAAGCGUUGUCCGGAAUCAUUGGGCGUAAAGAGUUCGUAGGCGGCAUGUCAAGUCUGGUGUUAAAGCCUGAGGCUCAACCUCAGUUCAGCACUGGAUACUGGCAAGCUAGAAUGCGGUAGAGGUAAAGGGAAUUCCUGGUGUAGCGGUGAAAUGCGUAGAUAUCAGGAAGAACACCGGUGGCGUAAGCGCUUUACUGGGCCGUUAUUGACGCUGAGGAACGAAAGCCGGGGGGGCGAA
rnacentral:rRNA from 1 species